CCUACGUGAGGCAGCAGUGGGGAAUAUUGCACAAUGGGGGAAACCCUGAUGCAGCAACGCCGCGUGAAGGAAGACGGUUUUCGGAUUGUAAACUUCUGUUCUUAGUGAAGAAUAAUGACGGUAGCUAAGGAGCAAGCCACGGCUAACUACGUGCCAGCAGCCGCGGUAAUACGUAGGUGGCAAGCGUUGUCCGGAAUUACUGGGUGUAAAGGGAGCGUAGGCGGACUUUUAAGUGAGAUGUGAAAUACUCGGGCUCAACUUGAGUGCUGCAUUUCAAACUGGAAGUCUAGAGUGCAGGAGAGGAGAAUGGAAUUCCUAGUGUAGCGGUGAAAUGCGUAGAGAUUAGGAAGAACACCAGUGGCGAAGGCGAUUCUCUGGACUGUAACUGACGCUGAGGCUCGAAAGCGUGGGGAGCAAACAGGAUUAGAUACCCCGGUAGUC
rnacentral:rRNA from 1 species